rnacentral:rRNA from 1 species
GGCGCAAGCCUGAUCUAGCCAUGCCGCGUGAGUGAUGAAGGCCUUCGGGUUGUAAAGCUCUUUCAUACGGAAAAAUAAUGAUCUUCCCCACAGGGUGUGCCUGAUAAUUCCGUGCCAACAACCGCGGCUUACUACGUGGGCUAGCGUUGUUCGUAAUUACUGGUGCGAGCGUUCAUCUAAAUUACUGGGCGUAAAGCGUGUGAAAUCCCUGAGGUCAAACUUAUGUCUGCCUUUGAAACUCCCGGUCUUGACUGCGAUAGAGACUGCUGGAAUUCCGAGUGGCAAAGUGAAGUGCAAUUAUAUUUGUAGGAACGCCAUGGGUAAAUAUGGCUCAGAGGCUCGAUGGUGACGGUGAGGUCCUGAAGCAUGACUGACGCUCAUGAUUAAAUACCCUGGGAGUCCACGCCAUUAAAUACCCUGGCCAUCCACGCCCUAAAAUGCUGUUCUAUGUGUUCCUAGAGGAUACUCAUUUCCGCCUGGGCUAACGCGUGAAAGGACCGCCUGGGAAGAAUUGACGGGGGGUUAAAACUCCGGUGGAUGACGUGGGACCCUUCCAAGCAGCGGAUGAAACCUAUUAAUUCCUUGCCAUUGAUAAAAUCUUACCUAGAUUUGACAGCCCCUUCUUGCAGCCUGUGGCUUGGUGCUCAUGGAGUCCUGGCUCGUGUGCUGCAUGGCUGUUUAAGCUCGUGUCGAGAGAUGCCCUUGUCGUCAUUGCCAUCAUUAACCCUUGUCUUUAAUUGCCACUGUUAAUGACGGCCUUAAGAAAGACUGCAUGAGACCAACCCCUCGAAGGCGUUAUAUGACGGGAUUCCUCAUCAUACAUUGAGUAGGACUUCACACUUCAUACCCUGGACGUGGCACAAUCUCCCAAAGCCGAUCGUGGACCGAUCGCAGUCAGCACUCGACUCCCUGAUUGAGUCUGCUCUCAACUCAUAAAGCGGAUCGCUAGAAUACGUACA